GCUUUGCAAAGUCACCAGUUCAAAGAAGUUCCUUCCCGUGUGUCGGGAGUGAGAGCAGCUGAGUCCUAAGAGCACAGGGUCGGGAACCAGGUGUCCAGGGGACAACUCCUGAGCCUCUUGGGAGAGAUGAGCCCAGAGAAUGGUUCUAGAUUUCUUCUGGGCUUUGCACAGAGGGUGGAGGGGAAAGGGCCGGUCCUGACCUGCAAAGAGUGGAGACAGGAGAGAGACCCACGUUCCAGCUUCUGUGUCUACUGUCGUGGGUGCUCCAGCGUGGAGACGGGUCUGAGGCCAAGCAUCUCACAGCACCGCUCUUCCUCCCUGGAGCACCAGGGAAGGAACUGGAAACGAGGCUGGUUGCUGCUGCUUCAAGACUGAUACAGCCACCACACUGGGAAGAAGGUGGGACCAGGACGCUUCUAGCGACAUCGCCUGCACCAGCUCAUGCCCUUCGCACGGCAGCAGUGGAGCAGCACCUGGUUCUGUUUUCACUUGAGAGGUGGGUGAGGAGACGGAGACCUGGAGAAGGCGGGUGACUUGCCCCGGGCCACAGAGAGUCGGAGGAGCCCACGCUCCCUGACCGCUGAGUCUGCGGUGACCAGAUCCCGCAGAAUGUACAAGACGAAAGGCAGCAGCCAACCUGCCGCAGAGAGACCUCACACAACGCAGAGGUUGGGCCCCGCCUCCUCCUGCGAGGCCAAGGCUGUCUCGGUCUGGUAAACACGGGCAGUCGCAGGGCAUGGCAUCUGCAGGGCAGAGACCCUGAGCCAGUGUCAGUCUUAGGUUAUUACAGCUGUCCAGGGGUUUACAGUUAAGAAACAUUUUUUUUUUUUUAGGAAUAUAAAAAUAUUUAUUGACCGCUGUUCACCAGUAUUUACAAUAAACAGUAUACAGUUGGAUACCAUUCUGAUUACUACAAGGCUGUUCUUCCUGGCUUCUGCAGAACCAGCAACCCAAAUACUGAAAAGAUUGAGCCUACAUGUAAGAAAUGAAUUGGGGUAAGAAAAAACAUGCAGGUCAAUAGUUUAGAUUACAAAAAGUUUGUUCACUCAUUUAUGUCAGCAGGUCUGAAACUGCCAA